GACGAACGCUGGCGGCGUGCUUAACACAUGCAAGUCGAACGGAAAGGCCCUGCUUUUGUGGGGUGCUCGAGUGGCGAACGGGUGAGUAACACGUGAGUAACCUGCCCUUGACUUUGGGAUAACUUCAGGAAACUGGGGCUAAUACCGGAUAGGAGCUCCUGCUGCAUGGUGGGGGUUGGAAAGUUUCGGCGGUUGGGGAUGGACUCGCGGCUUAUCAGCUUGUUGGUGGGGUAGUGGCUUACCAAGGCUUUGACGGGUAGCCGGCCUGAGAGGGUGACCGGCCACAUUGGGACUGAGAUACGGCCCAGACUCCUACGGGAGGCAACAGUGGGGAAUAUUGCACAAUGGGCGGAAGCCUGAUGCAGCAACGCCGCGUGCGGGAUGACGGCCUUCGGGUUGUAAACCGCUGUCGCCUGUGACGAAGCGUGAGUGACGGUAAUGGGUAAAGAAGCACCGGCUAACUACGUG
rnacentral:rRNA from 1 species